rnacentral:rRNA from 1 species
GUUUGAUCCUGGCUCAGGAUGAACGCUAGCUACAGGCUUAACACAUGCAAGUCGAGGGGAAACGACAUCGAAAGCUUGCUUUUGAUGGGCGUCGACCGGCGCACGGGUGAGUAACGCGUAUCCAACCUGCCCACCACUUGGGGAUAACCUUGCGAAAGUAAGACUAAUACCCAAUGACGUCUCUAGAAGACAUCUGAAAGAGAUUAAAGAUUUAUCGGUGAUGGAUGGGGAUGCGUCUGAUUAGCUUGUUGGCGGGGUAACGGCCCACCAAGGCGACGAUCAGUAGGGGUUCUGAGAGGAAGGUCCCCCACAUUGGAACUGAGACACGGUCCAAACUCCUACGGGAGGCAGCAGUGAGGAAUAUUGGUCAAUGGACGAGAGUCUGAACCAGCCAAGUAGCGUGCAGGAUGACGGCCCUAUGGGUUGUAAACUGCUUCUAUAAGGGAAUAAAGUGAGUCUCGUGAGACUUUUUGCAUGUACCUUAUGAAUAAGGACCGGCUAAUUCCGUGCCAGCAGCCGCGGUAAUACGGAAGGUCCGGGCGUUAUCCGGAUUUAUUGGGUUUAAAGGGAGCGUAGGCCGGAGAUUAAGCGUGUUGUGAAAUGUAGAUGCUCAACAUCUGCACUGCAGCGCGAACUGGUUUCCUUGAGUACGCACAAAGUGGGCGGAAUUCGUGGUGUAGCGGUGAAAUGCUUAGAUAUCACGAAGAACUCCGAUUGCGAAGGCAGCUCACUGGAGCGCAACUGACGCUGAAGCUCGAAAGUGCGGGUAUCGAACAGGAUUAGAUACCCUGGUAGUCCGCACGGUAAACGAUGGAUGCCCGCUGUUGGUCUGAAUAGGUCAGCGGCCAAGCGAAAGCAUUAAGCAUCCCACCUGGGGAGUACGCCGGCAA